CUUCAGUUCCCUUUGGGUUCACAAAUAGGCAUGUUUCGCCAGCUGCUCAGGCUAUUUUGGAAGGAAAGUGGAGAUCAAGGAGAGACCACACCAACACAGAAGGAAGGUGACCUCCUGUGUAGUAAAACAGGAAGGAUGAAAUCAUUCUGAGGAAGGCUUGGUGAGUCCUGGGCAGAGUUGGGGAACUUCCUCGAGAUGUGCCUUCUAAGACUAGGCCUUACAAGCAGGAGCCUUGGGAUCAUUAAUUUGAGAGAAAGCCAGAAAUUGCACCACGCACUUCCAGCUCCUGCGUGAAUGAACUCAAUUGAAGAACAAUAUAAGGAUUUUGCUGAAUGAGAACACACAACUGCUGGUGGAGCAGACUAAACUGCCAGCAUCCUAUGAGAAAGCAAAGAGGUUCUGUCAGAAGGCCAGCAAUUACAUCUGUGUCCCCAGAGCCAAGCAACAGCAGCUCCUGUUUCCUGACCUGCUUGAGUUCCGGUCCUGGCUUCCUUUGGUGAUGAACAGCAAUGUGGAAGUAUAUGGCUUCUGCUGAGAACUGCAGUUCGCCUAGAAGACACCAAGGGCUCUACAGUGUCCCCUGUGGUGCUGAGACAGCAGAGACAGAUGCCAAUUAAGGUCCUUGCAGGUGUGCAUCUCCAGAGACUGACCUUCCUUCCAUCCACUCUUUGGCGCUUUGGUAAUUGAGUUUGCAGAAACAAAUCAACGAUUGGCAGAAAUAAAGGAACAGAAUUAUUAAUGUACAAGUAGACAGCUGUCACGCUGAGCAUGAAACUCAGACAUGAGCCCUGACGAUUGUGGCUUAAGGAUUCUUUAUGAGGAGGACAGAAGUGAGGCCACACCAAUUUCGGAGGAGAAGUCAAUGAUUUAUAGGGGACAUGGGCCAGGCACAUAGAAGUGACAGCGUCUGGGAAC
ensembl:lncRNA